rnacentral:rRNA from 1 species
GCGAUGAAGGACGUGAUAAGCUGCGAUAAGCUUCGGGUAGGUGCAAAUAACCCUUGAUCCGAAGAUUUCCGAAUGGGACAACCCGACAUUCUGAAGGAAUGUCAUCCAUCCUAGAUGGAGGCUAACACAGGGAACUGAAACAUCUUAGUACCUGUAGGAAAAGAAAAUAAUAAUGAUUCCCCAAGUAGUGGCGAGCGAACGGGGAUUAGCCCAAACCAAUGUUGUUACGGCAAUAUUGGGGUUGUAGGACCACGACAUCGCAAGAAGUUUAGUGAGAAGAACCCUUUGGAAAAUGGGACCAUAGACGGUGAUAGUCCGGUAUUCGAAGCUAAACGAAGCGUAGUGGUAUCCUGAGUAGCGCGGGACACGAGAAAUCUUGCGUGAAUCUGCCGGGACCAUCCGGUAAGGCUAAAUACUCCCGAGAGACCGAUAGCGAACCAGUACUGUGAAGGAAAGGUGAAAAGCACUUCGAACAGAAGAGUGAAAUAGUCCCUGAAACCAUGCGCCUACAAGCGGUCGGAGCUGCGCAAGCAGUGACGGCGUGCCUUUUGCAUAAUGAACCUACGAGUUACUUUUUCCGGCAAGGUUAAGCAUUUCAAAAUGUGUAGCCGAAGCGAAAGCGAGUCUGAACAGGGCGAUUAGUCGGAAGGAGUAGACGCGAAACCAAGUGAUCUACCCUUGGUCAGGUUGAAGGUUAGGUAACACUAACUGGAGGACCGAACCGAUAAGCGUUGAAAAGCUUCCGGAUGAACUGAGGGUGGGGGUGAAAGGCUAAUCAAACUUGGAGAUAGCUCGUACUCCCCGAAAUGCAUUUAGGUGCAGCCUUGUGAGUUACUAAUGUGAGGUAGAGCGACUGAUAAGAUGCGAGGGCUUCACCGCCUAUCAAGUCUUGAUAAACUCCGAAUGCGCAUUAGUCCUAUCACAGGAGUGAGGGCAUGGGUGCUAAGGUCCAUGUCCUAAAGGAGAAGAAUCCGGACCAUCAGCUAAGGUCCCCAAAUAGAUACUAAGUUGAACUAACGAAGUCAGAUUGCUAAGACAGCUAGGAUGUUGGCUUGGAAGCAGCCAUUCAUUUAAAGAGUGCGUAACAGCUCACUAGUCGAGGAGUUUGGCGUGGAUAAUAAUCGGGCAUAAGUAUUCUACCGAAGCUUUGGGAUGAGAAAUCAUCGGUAGGGGAGCAUUCCACUCUGCGUCGAAGGUGAAGCGCGAGCUUUGCUGGAGCGUGUGGAAAAGCAAAUGUAGGUAUAAGUAACGAUAAAGGGGGUGGGAAACCCCCUCGCCGAAAGACUAAGGUUUCCUGAUCAACGCUAAUCGGAUCAGGGUUAGUCGGGUCCUAAGGCUCAGCCGAACGGUGAGGCCGAUGGCAGAACAGGUUAAUAUUCCUGUACUACCUUAAGGAGUGACGUGGAGACGGAGGAGUGACAGCGCCGCGGACUGACGGAAUAGUCCGUUGAAGGGUGUAGAUAUUGAUCUUUGCAGGCAAAUCCACAAAGAGAGUCGAACCUGAUAGUAUACCGCGUUCUUCGGAACAAGGUAAUAGUGCGUGUAAGCAUACUCCCGAGAAAAUCCGCUAAACUUAAUCCUUGAGGUACCCGUACCGCAAACGGACACACGUAGUCGGGUUGAAUAUACUAAGGCGCUUGAGUGAUUCACGGUUAAGGAACUAGGCAAACUGACCCUGUAACUUCGGGAUAAAGGGUCCUCAAGCAAUUGAGGCGCAGAGAAUAGGUCCAGGCAACUGUUUAACAAAAACACAGGGCUGUGCAAAAUUGAAAGAUGAAGUAUACAGCCUGACACCUGCCCGGUGCUGGAAGGUUAAGAGGAGAUGUCAUCGCAAGAGAAGCAUUGAAUUGAAGCCCCAGUAAACGGCGGCCGUAACUAUAACGGUCCUAAGGUAGCGAAAUUCCUUGUCGGGUAAGUUCCG